UACAUAUUUAUCAAAAUUAAUUUUUUUUUCAGUAUUAUAAUUUGGAAACGACAGAAUCUCAUGAUAUCACAGUGUUGUCAUGAUAGAAAUCCAGAGAGAGAAGGAAACCUGGAUUAUAUAAAAUAUUCACAAAUUGGUGAUUAUAACUUAAAACAUGAGGAACAUGAAGAAAAUACUGCUAGAGACGCCAAAACGAAAAAUGUAUCAGAAAUUUAUGACGGUAACACAAAGCCAAUGAAUUCCAACCAGCCUA